UACGUAGGAGGCAAGCGUUGUCCGGAAUUACUGGGCGUAAAGCGCGUGUAGGUGGUGGGACAAGUCUGCUGUGAAAGCGCCUGGCUUAACCGGGCGAGGUCGGCGGAAACUGUCCGACUCGAGGACGGUAGAGGGGGGUGGAAUUCCCGGUGUAGUGGUGAAAUGCGUAGAGAUCGGGAGGAACACCGGUGGUGUAGACGGCUCUCUGGACCGUAACUGACGCUGAGACACGAAAGCGUGGGUAGCAAACAGG
rnacentral:rRNA from 1 species